rnacentral:rRNA from 1 species
UACGGAGGAUGCGAGCGUUAUCCGGAUUUAUUGGGUUUAAAGGGUGCGUAGGCGGAUUUUUAAGUCAGCGGUAAAAUGUCCGGGCUCAACCCGGGCCGGCCGUUGAAACUGGGGAUCUUGAGUGGGCGAGAAGUAUGCGGAAUACGUGGUGUAGCGGUGAAAUGCAUAGAUAUCACGCAGAACUCCGAUUGCGAAGGCAGCAUACCGGCGCCCGACUGACGCUGAGGCACGAAAGCGUGGGGAUCGAACAGG